UCCCAGACUCCUACGGGAGGCAGCAGUGAGGAAUAUUGGUCAAUGGCCGAGAGGCUGAACCAGCCAAGUCGCGUGAGGGAUGACGGCCCUACGGGUUGUAAACCUCUUUUGUCGGGGAGCAAAGAGAGUCACGUGUGGCUCAUUGAGAGUACCCGAAGAAAAAGCAUCGGCUAACUCCGUGCCAGCAGCCGCGGUAAUACGGAGGAUGCGAGCGUUAUCCGGAAUCAUUGGGCGUAAAGAGUUCGUAGGUGGCACGUUAAGUCUGGUGUUAAAUGCAGAGGCUCAACCUCUGUUCGGCACUGGAUACUGGCGAGCUUGAAUGCGGUAGAGGUAAAGGGAAUUCCUGGUGUAGCGGUGAAAUGCGUAGAUAUCAGGAGGAACAUCGGUGGCGUAAGCGCUUUACUGGGCCGUAAUUGACACUGAGGAACGAAAGCCAGGGUAGCAAAUGGGAUGAGAUACCCCAGUAC
rnacentral:rRNA from 1 species